rnacentral:lncRNA from 1 species
GCAUGCCUAUCAUUCCUUUAAAAGAUGAGAAUGACGCCAGCAUUUUGUGUUGAGUUGAAUUAUUGAAUGCAAAGCAUAGAAAGACCCCCACCAUUUCUUCUUGAAUCUCUCUGGGGAUGAGGAUGCCUACGAUGUUCUGAUGCAGUGUAUUCUAUUAUUGGGCAUCCUACUGAGAUGAAUUCUCUUUAAAAGAGCUACUUUCCAUGGCAUCCAUUUGGCCAAUAGAAAAUUCAUCAUGCUUACCACACCAAGUAGCAGGAAGGCAGGCUUGUCACGCUGUACCCUCCUUCCUUGCCCUAGUCUCCAGUACUGCUCCAGCUGGCCUCUAACCUCCAGAAUCCUCCCAUUAAUAUGCAGGUCACUAUCAGAGUCCUGUGUGUGAACUGAGGUGAGGAUUCCGGUCAGGCAGACACUUCAGUCCAUCAGAGCAACUCUACUUUUAUCUCUUUUUUAAUACUGGGAUUUGCAGUAUAUUUUCAUUUGAAGACUGUUUUGUGUAUAAAAGCAAAGCAUUCUGGGGGCAAAGAAGAU